rnacentral:rRNA from 1 species
GGGUUGUGAGGUUAAGCGACUAAGCGUACACGGUGGAUGCCCUGGCAGUCAGAGGCGAUGAAGGGCGUGCUAAUCUGCGAUAAGCGCCGGUAAGGUGAUAUGAACCGUUAUAACCGGCGAUACCCGAAUGGGGAAACCCAGUGUGAUUCGUCACACUAUCAUUAACUGAAUCCAUAGGUUAAUGAGGCGAACCGGGGGAACUGAAACAUCUAAGUACCCCGAGGAAAAGAAAUCAACCGAGAUUCCCCCAGUAGCGGCGAGCGAACGGGGAGGAGCCCAGAGCCUGAAUCAGCAUGUGUGUUAGUGGAAGCGUCUGGAAAGGCGCGCGAUACAGGGUGACAGCCCCGUACACAAAAGCGCAUGUGCUGUGAGCUCGAUGAGUAGGGCGGGACACGUGGUAUCCUGUCUGAAUAUGGGGGGACCAUCCUCCAAGGCUAAAUACUCCUGACUGACCGAUAGUGAACCAGUACCGUGAGGGAAAGGCGAAAAGAACCCCGGCGAGGGGAGUGAAAAAGAACCUGAAACCGUGUACGUACAAGCAGUGGGAGCACAGGUUUACCUGUGUGACUGCGUACCUUUUGUAUAAUGGGUCAGCGACUUAUAUUCUGUAGCAAGGUUAACCGUAUAGGGGAGCCGUAGGGAAACCGAGUCUUAAUUGGGCGUUAAGUUGCAGGGUAUAGACCCGAAACCCGGUGAUCUAGCCAUGGGCAGGUUGAAGGUUGGGUAACACUAACUGGAGGACCGAACCGACUAAUGUUGAAAAAUUAGCGGAUGACCUGUGGCUGGGGGUGAAAGGCCAAUCAAACCGGGAGAUAGCUGGUUCUCCCCGAAAGCUAUUUAGGUAGCGCCUCGUGAAUUCAUCUCCGGGGGUAGAGCACUGUUUCGGCUAGGGGGCCAUCCCGGCUUACCAACCCGAUGCAAACUGCGAAUACCGGAGAAUGUUAUCACGGGAGACACACGGCGGGUGCUAACGUCCGUCGUGAAGAGGGAAACAACCCAGACCGCCAGCUAAGGUCCCAAAGUCAUGGUUAAGUGGGAAACGAUGUGGGAAGGCCCAGACAGCCAGGAUGUUGGCUUAGAAGCAGCCAUCAUUUAAAGAAAGCGUAAUAGCUCACUGGUCGAGUCGGCCUGCGCGGAAGAUGUAACGGGGCUAAACCAUGCACCGAAGCUGCGGCAGCGACGCUUAUGCGUUGUUGGGUAGGGGAGCGUUCUGUAAGCCUGUGAAGGUGGCCUGUGAGGGUUGCUGGAGGUAUCAGAAGUGCGAAUGCUGACAUAAGUAACGAUAAAGCGGGUGAAAAGCCCGCUCGCCGGAAGACCAAGGGUUCCUGUCCAACGUUAAUCGGGGCAGGGUGAGUCGACCCCUAAGGCGAGGCCGAAAGGCGUAGUCGAUGGGAAACGGGUUAAUAUUCCCGUACUUGGUGUUACUGCGAAGGGGGGACGGAGAAGGCUAUGUUGGCCGGGCGACGGUUGUCCCGGUUUAAGCGUGUAGGUGUGUGUUCCAGGUAAAUCCGGUUCACUUUAACACUGAGGCGUGACGACGAGGCACUACGGUGCUGAAGCAACAAAUGCCCUGCUUCCAGGAAAAGCCUCUAAGCAUCAGGUAACAUCAAAUCGUACCCCAAACCGACACAGGUGGUCAGGUAGAGAAUACCAAGGCGCUUGAGAGAACUCGGGUGAAGGAACUAGGCAAAAUGGUGCCGUAACUUCGGGAGAAGGCACGCUGACACGUAGGUGAAGUGAUUUACUCAUGGAGCUGAAGUCAGUCGAAGAUACCAGCUGGCUGCAACUGUUUAUUAAAAACACAGCACUGUGCAAACACGAAAGUGGACGUAUACGGUGUGACGCCUGCCCGGUGCCGGAAGGUUAAUUGAUGGGGUCAGCGCAAGCGAAGCUCCUGAUCGAAGCCCCGGUAAACGGCGGCCGUAACUAUAACGGUCCUAAGGUAGCGAAAUUCCUUGUCGGGUAAGUUCCGACCUGCACGAAUGGCGUAAUGAUGGCCAGGCUGUCUCCACCCGAGACUCAGUGAAAUUGAACUCGCUGUGAAGAUGCAGUGUACCCGCGGCAAGACGGAAAGACCCCGUGAACCUUUACUAUAGCUUGACACUGAACAUUGAGCCUUGAUGUGUAGGAUAGGUGGGAGGCUUUGAAGUGUGGACGCCAGUCUGCAUGGAGCCGACCUUGAAAUACCACCCUUUAAUGUUUGAUGUUCUAACGUGGACCCGUGAUCCGGGUUGCGGACAGUGUCUGGUGGGUAGUUUGACUGGGGCGGUCUCCUCCUAAAGAGUAACGGAGGAGCACGAAGGUUGGCUAAUCCUGGUCGGACAUCAGGAGGUUAGUGCAAUGGCAUAAGCCAGCUUGACUGCGAGCGUGACGGCGCGAGCAGGUGCGAAAGCAGGUCAUAGUGAUCCGGUGGUUCUGAAUGGAAGGGCCAUCGCUCAACGGAUAAAAGGUACUCCGGGGAUAACAGGCUGAUACCGCCCAAGAGUUCAUAUCGACGGCGGUGUUUGGCACCUCGAUGUCGGCUCAUCACAUCCUGGGGCUGAAGUAGGUCCCAAGGGUAUGGCUGUUCGCCAUUUAAAGUGGUACGCGAGCUGGGUUUAGAACGUCGUGAGACAGUUCGGUCCCUAUCUGCCGUGGGCGCUGGAGAACUGAGGGGGGCUGCUCCUAGUACGAGAGGACCGGAGUGGACGCAUCACUGGUGUUCGGGUUGUCAUGCCAAUGGCACUGCCCGGUAGCUAAAUGCGGAAGAGAUAAGUGCUGAAAGCAUCUAAGCACGAAACUUGCCCCGAGAUGAGUUCUCCCUGAGACUUAGAGUCUCCUGAAGGAACGUUGAAGACGACGACGUUGAUAGGCCGGGUGUGUAAGCGCAGCGAUGCGUUGAGCUAACCGGUACUAAUGAACCGUGAGGCUUAACCUUACAACGCCGAAG